CCCUGUUUUUAACAGCUCACAGUCCAACGGAAAAAACUGACAGUUAUCAGAUAACCAUGUGUGCGAUGAGAUGGCUGCAAGACAGCCUCUCCUCUAGGUGCUCCUUCAAUGGUCAGAUGAGGACUCUUCACAUUUGGCUGCCCUCCAUCAGCCACAACUGUCCUGCCCAAAGAGCAAGCUUUGGCUUUAAAGCUGCUUCCUAGCCCGCCUCCGCCACCACUCUAUUGAGGAGUCCAACUUGCCUUUCGGUAUCACGGUUUCGUCACCUGCUAAAGGAGCUGGAUGUGAUGACGUCUGUGGGAAGGACAAGACUUAGCGUGCCCGCACUGUGGUGCCCAAACGCUGUUCUCAUCUGCCGGUAGAAACGUACUGUAAAUAAAGAAAAAGGCCACUGGCUUAUUUUAAACACCCAGUAUGAUCUAAGAGCUCAUAAUGUCCUAGACACUGUGUGAAAGCUUCUAGUUCUCACCGUAAUACUGUUCUUAUGUUAAAAUCCCAUUCUGUAAACUGAAGACAUUAUGGCUCAGAGAGGUUAAGAGACUUAUCUAAGGUCACGUCGCUCUCCAAAUUUGUGUUUAGCUUGAAUGUGAAUAUAGCUUUCUGUGACUUGACGUUUGUCUUCUUUCUACACUUGGCUUAUUUCACAGCAAGAGCCAUGGAAUAUUAACAUACAGUAAGAAUUCCGAUUCAAGUCUGACCACUAGUCUUCUAAGAGCGAUAUAAAUAUAGGAUUUCUACCCUGAGCUUCUGAACCUGUGCUCUGAAACAUGCCACCAGUCGGAACAAGUUGGUGUAGGGAGAAGCAACGAGCAGAUACCAAAAGCCAGCUCCUCCUCCGAAAAUAUGAUGAAAUCGAUUUACAGUCUCAGGACUUUUCCUAUUGAAGAAUUAAACACUCCCUGGGAAAAAGCAUCUCUGAAAGUCCUCCAGUACCCGAAUACCCAAUUCAUCCAAGAGAAACAUCUGUAAUAUGUCAUGACGAAAAUGUUACCUUCUCCAUGUGGACCACGAAAUCCUUGACAAUCACUUCCAUUCCAGACUGGUGAUUGUCGUCAUUUUCUUUUUUUGGAUAGAUAAACAAAGGCAGCCUGAAGCUAAAGGCUUUGCUUAGCAUGUCACAUCUCAGUCACUAAAUGAGACACAAUGAAAGCCAUCCCUCUCAUCCCUUCAAAAAUAAAGAGCUUUCAAGCUUUCACAGUCAACGAGCACUUUCAGAACGAUUAUACUAGCUGAAAGGGCAUAUAUAGAUGACACCCAGAAACAGGAAGGAAGUCAACCCAAAGCUGAACAUCUCGCCUCACUGACUCGAAGCAGCAGAGAUGGAAGAUAAGUAAAGUUUUAGCAAAGAAGGGUCUGAAAGAAAAUUAAUUAAAUAUAGCUAGUUAUCAGGUGCUGUUUUCACACUGUAAAACAAGAACAAAGUGACUCUUCUUUAAUUAGCAAUUUUUGUUUCUUGAUUAAUUGAUUGAUUGGGUCAUCCAUUCAA